CCGCGUGUAUGAUGACUGCCCUAUGGGUUGUAAACUGCUUUUGUACGAAAAAAACACCCUCUUCCUGAAGAGGACUGACGGUACCGUACCAAUAAGGACCGGCUAACUCC
rnacentral:rRNA from 1 species